rnacentral:snRNA from 1 species
UCUUCGUAAACAGUUAUGUCUGUU